AUUGAAUAGCAGUCAGUGUCCUUAAAGCGGGUGUUACGCUAACAGUGGAUACGGUGACCAGUGCCACCAAUUAGAUCUGGUGACACAAAGCUUGGAUUUAAAAAAACAAAACACUUUUUUCACUGUUAUAGAUUGAAUAGCAGUCAGUGUCCUUAAAGCGGGUGUGUUACGCUAACAGUGGAUACGCUGACAAGUGCCACUAAUUAGAU